rnacentral:lncRNA from 1 species
CUGUUUGAUCCUCCAGAAACCCAAACAAGGCUCCAUUGAGUGUUCUGCUGUUUCACACACACCGCACUUCCCUGGGCAACCUCAUUUUAUAUAGCAUUCUUUAAUGCAAUCUAAAAUUUGAUUUAACAAAUGGAAACAGAUUUUUUUUUGUCAAGGCUUUUAAAGUAAGAACUGUUUUGUUUGUUUGCUUGCUUGUUUACUUCAAUAAACACCUUGGAACUCUUUAUUGGGUUCUGUAAAUAUGAUCACUCCAUUCAUUCGGAGUCCUCUGGCAUGGAAUGUGCCUGUCCACACUUGAACCUCCUAGCUAAAGCGUCCUCCUGAGAAAGCCCUGGAGACCUGAGAGAAAUCCUCAGCACACCUCAUGUUUGUCAUGGUGUCGAGUCUGACGUUCUCAAGCAAUAUUUUAUCUGUAGGGUGGGAUGGCCUUUCUAACAUGGAGCCUGGCAUGGAGGCUCCCCACAGGCCGCCAUCUUCAGGGCUGAAUACAGUGGGAAAAGCAGCAAAAUUAGAGACUUCAAACAGUUGCCAGAACCUGCGUAAUGAGAGACAGCGAACAUUUCUCAGGCUACUGAGCCUCUGAAACACGACGAUGCGAGCAAAUGAAAUCAUGGUACCUUUCAUUGUAGCUUAAUUGGACUCAAAGUCAGUGAGGAAGGCUGCUGAAAGCCGCACUGAGGGAGACAGACAGGAGUCAGAGGCACAUUCAGUCCGCAUCUUACCGCCCAGGCUCCUCACUCGCUCUCAAGGCUGACUCCUGCUCAAGAGAGAGAGAAGAGCAGCAAACAAAAGCAGAGCGUGGGUGCGAAAGGCAGGCCUAACACUGGCCUUGUGACUGGCAUGCUGUCACCCGACUUAUGCAUUUGAAGUAGCUCAACCUCGUGGCAGCCAGUUCAAGCCAAUUUAUUUGAAAGAAGCAAAAAGAAGUGAAACAAACUUGGGCCCUCUCUUCUGCCUGUUAGGGUGUCAAGCUAUCCACGUCAAGGAGUGCUGUUAGCAGAAGGCUGGCCAUGGGCUGUGCAUACACACUAACAAGGAAGGGUAAGCUGAGCAUGGCCUCCUGUUGAGUGGAGCUAAAUGGCAGCCCCAGUCGAGGAGCCCAAAAGAAGCAGAAAAUCACCAAAGCUGUCAGGAGCAAGGCAGGGAAUUGAUGGGAGCAUCAAGGAAGAGGCGGGUUUGGAGGGCACGAUCCGGAGAAGCGGCUCAUCCCGGGGCGCGCUCGGCUGAAGUCGGAUCCCUUCCUUGGGAGGAGAAGAGCGCCAUGGCUUUCCUGUUUGACGCCCAUGUCUUGGAUUUCUCCAGGUUGAAGCUACCCCCUUCCUCUCAGUCUCAUCCCAUCUAGCCAUUCUGCCUGGCCGCUUGACACACUUUUGCUGUCAUUAUGGCUGUAGGUUUAGCCACGUACAGCUAGGAGAAUGGACAAAUCGGGGGGAUUGCAUGUAACAGAGCAUCACAGACAUUGAUUUUUGAAGGUUCAUUAGAUAAAUGCUGACAUCACAGAUUGAUGUCUCUUUAAACCAGUACCUUGUGCAGGCCCAUCGGGGGAAUCAGAAAUAUUGAUGUAACAUGUUUGAGCAGAAGGCCCACUGGAGAAUUCCCAGCCUAAGUGGGAUCCAUCAAUUUAGGCUUUCUUUAAUUAUUCUAAUUCUGUGCAUCUCAUUGGAAGGAGGCUUGGCAUGCAGAAGUGCAGAAGCAAUUUGUAUAGGGGACGCUGCCCCAGCUUUAGGAGCAAAGGAAAGCCAAGUAGGGUAGCCAUGCCUAUUUUUCAUUGUUUGGAGCUGCUGUUUAGUAAUUAAAAUUUUGAUCAUAGAC